UAGGGAUGUUGAUGACAUUCGGUCUCUGU
rnacentral:piRNA from 1 species